rnacentral:rRNA from 1 species
GACGAACGCUGGCGGCGUGCUUAACACAUGCAAGUCGAACGGAAAGGCCCUGCUUUUGUGGGGUGCUCGAGUGGCGAACGGGUGAGUAACACGUGAGUAACCUGCCCUUGACUUUGGGAUAACUUCAGGAAACUGGGGCUAAUACCGGAUAGGAGCUCCUGCUGCAUGGUGGGGGUUGGAAAGUUUCGGCGGUUGGGGAUGGACUCGCGGCUUAUCAGCUUGUUGGUGGGGUAGUGGCUUACCAAGGCUUUGACGGGUAGCCGGCCUGAGAGGGUGACCGGCCACAUUGGGACUGAGAUACGGCCCAGACUCCUACGGGAGGCAGCAGUGGGGAAUAUUGCACAAUGGGCGGAAGCAUGAUGCAGCAACGCCGUGUGCGGGAUGACGGCCUUCGGGUUGUAAACCGCUUUCGCCUGUGACGAAGCGUGAGUGACGGUAAUGGGUAAAGAAGCACCGGCUAACUACGU